rnacentral:sRNA from 1 species
AACUGGCAAGGGGACCACCCUGUUCUCCUUCUCCUUGCAGCUCCCCGAGUCAUUCCCCUCCCUCCUAGAUGAUGAUGGAUACCUCUCUUUCCCCAACCUUUCUGAAACCAACCUCCUGCCCCAGAGCUUGCAGCAUUACCUCCCGAUCCACUCACCGUCCCUCGUGCCCUGUUUCCUCUUCAUCUUUUUCUUUCUGCUGUCUGCCUCCUUCUCAGUGCCAUAUGCUCUCACUCUCUCCUUCCCUCUGGCUCUGUGCCUCUGCUACCUGGAGCCCAAGGCGGCCUCCUUGAGCGCCUCCCUAGACAAUGACCCGAGUGACAGUUCAGAGGAAGAGACUGACAGUGAGCGCACAGACACCGCAGCCGACGGGGAGACCACCGCCACUGAGUCGGACCAGGAGGAAGAUGCAGAGCUCAAGGCACAGGAGCUAGAAAAAACUCAAGAUGACCUGAUGAAACAUCAAACCAACAUUAGCGAGCUGAAAAGAACCUUCUUAGAAACUUCAACAGACACUGCCGUAACGAAUGAAUGGGAGAAGAGGCUUUCCACCUCCCCCGUGCGACUGGCCGCCAGGCAGGAGGAUGCCCCCAUGAUCGAACCACUUGUCCCUGAAGAGACCAAAGAAGAAACAGAGAUUUCUGAAAAAGUUAUAUUUUUGCAGCA